rnacentral:rRNA from 1 species
UACGUAGGGGGCUAGCGUUGUCCGGAAUCAUUGGGCGUAAAGCGCGUGUAGGCGGUCCGGUAAGUCCGCUGUGAAAGUCGGGGGCUCAACCCUCGAAUGCCGGUGGAUACUGUCGAGCUAGAGUGCGGAAGAGGCGAGUGGAAUUCCUGGUGUAGCGGUGAAAUGCGCAGAUAUCAGGAGGAACACCAAUUGCGAAGGCAGCUCGCUGGGACGUUACUGACGCUGAGACGCGAAAGCGUGGGGAGCAAACAGG